GACGAACGCUGGCGGCGUGCUUAACACAUGCAAGUCGAACGGAAAGGCCCUGCUUUUGUGGGGUGCUCGAGUGGCGAACGGGUGAGUAACACGUGAGUAACCUGCCCUUGACUUUGGGAUAACUUCAGGAAACUGGGGCUAAUACCGGAUAGGAGCUCCUGCUGCAUGGUGGGGGUUGGAAAGUUUCGGCGGUUGGGGAUGGACUCGCGGCUUAUCAGCUUGUUGGUGGGGUAGUGGCUUACCAAGGCUUUGACGGGUAGCCGGCCUGAGAGGGUGACCGGCCACAUUGGGACUGAGAUACGGCCCAGACUCGUACGGGAGGCAGCAGUGGGGAAUAUUGCACAAUGGGCGGAAGCGUGAUGCAGCAACGCCGCGUGCGGGAUGACGGCCUUCGGGUUGUAAACCGCUUUCGCCUGUGACGAAGCGUGAGUGACGGUAAUGGGUAAAGAAGCACCGGCUAACUACGUG
rnacentral:rRNA from 1 species